GGGGGUGACUGAUUUUGACAGCGAAUAAAAGUAAAUGAAUCGCCUGCGGUUGUGAAUACCGCGCAACAAAAGUACAAAGCAAUUAACUGGCAAAAAUAAAAUUAAAGCUUGGGGAAACAAGGUUUCUGCCAAAGCAGCAAACGUAAUCAAUAUGUUUGCACAACCAGCAGUUAGAUUUUCUGCUGCUGCGUAAAGCAAGUUAAAUAACUUUCCAGGUGGAGUUUGAAAUUUAGAAGUCUGGUGGUGGAACUCGACAAACCGUCGGCCCUUCCUUGAAAAAGGAUAUGUUUGCCCGUUCAGACAAAACGAGCUAUGGCGUAAGUAUAUUCAUUGAGGAUAGUUUGUUUGGACGCGGGUUUGAUUCCCGCCACCUCCACGA
rnacentral:tmRNA from 1 species